rnacentral:rRNA from 1 species
UACGGAAGGCAGCAGUGGGGAAUAUUGCACAAUGGGCGAAAGCCUGAUGCAGCUAUGCCGCGUGUAUGAAGAAGGCCUUAGGGUUGUAAAGUACUUUCAUCGGGGAGGAAAAAACAAAACUAAUAAUUUUAUUUCUUGACGUUACCCGAAAAAGAAGCACCGGCUAACUCCGUGCCAGCAGCCGCGGUAAUACGGAGGGUGCUAGCGUUAAUCAGAAUUACUGGGCGUAAAGAGCACGUAGGUGGUUUUUUUAAGUCAGAUGUGAAAUCCCUGGGCUUAACCUAGGAACUGCAUUUUGAAACUGAAAUACUAGAGUAUCGUAGAGGGAGGUAGAAUUCUAGGUGUAGCGGUGAAAUGCGUAGAUAUCUGGAGGAAUACCUGUGGCGAAAGCGGCCUCCUAAACGAAUACUGACACUGAGGUGCGAAAGCGUGGGGAGCAAACGAGGGAUUAGGAUACC